rnacentral:rRNA from 1 species
AUACGUAGGGUGCGAGCGUUAUCCGGAAUCAUUGGGCGUAAAGAGCUCGUAGGCGGUUCAGCAAGUCGGCUGUGAAAGUUCGAGGCUCAACCUCGAAAUUGCAGUCGAUACUGCUGUGACUCGAGUCCGGUAGAGGAGAAUGGAAUUCUCGGUGUAGCGGUGAAAUGCGCAGAUAUCGAGAGGAACACCAGUAGCGAAGGCGGUUCUCUGGGCCGGCACUGACGCUGAGGAGCGAAAGCGUGGGGAGCAAACAGGAUUAGAUACCCCGGUAGUCC